rnacentral:rRNA from 1 species
GACGAACGCUGGCGGCGUGCUUAACACAUGCAAGUCGAACGGAAAGGCCCUGCUUUUGUGGGGUGCUCGAGUGGCGAACGGGUGAGUAACACGUGAGUUACCUGCACUUGACUUUGGGAUAUCUUCAGGAAACUGGGGCUAAUACCGGAUAGGAGCUCUUGCUGCAUGGUGGGGGUUGGAAAGUUUCGGCGGUUGGGGAUGGACUCGCGGCUUAUCAGCUUGUUGGUGGGGUAGUGGCUUACCAAGGCUUUGACGGGUAGCCGGCCUGAGAGGGUGAGCGGCCACAUUGGGACUGAGAUACGGCCCAGACUCCUACGGGAGGCAGCAGUGGGGAAUAUUGCACAAGAGGCGGAAGCCUGAUGCAGCAACGCCGCGUGCGGGAUGACGGCCUUCGGGUUGUAAACCGCUUUCGCCUGUGACGAAGCGUGAGUGACGGUAAUGGGUAAAGAAGCACCGGCUAACUACGUG